UACGUAGGGGGCGAGCGUUGUCCGAAGUUACUGGGCGUAAAGCGCGCGUAGGCGGGAAAUUAAGUGAGAAGUGAAAGGCUGGGGCUCAACCUCAUGCAGUGCUUCUCAUACUGGUUUUCUUGAGGGCGGUAGAGAAAAGUGGAAUUCCUGGUGUAGCGGUGAAAUGCGCAGAUAUCAGGAGGAACACCGGUGGCGAAGGCGGGUCUCUGGGCCGUAACUGACGCUGAGGAGCGAAAGCGUGGGGAGCGAACAGG
rnacentral:rRNA from 1 species